UGUGUUGCUGUGAUGAAUCAAAAAGAUGGUAUCUUAGUAAGUUAGCUCUUGAAAAAGGCCUCCUUCCUCGAUUACACAUCCUAAACUGAUCAUAUAUUCCGAACAAACA